rnacentral:tRNA from 1 species
AGUCUUAUAUUCAUUUAAUAAUGAUAUAAAAUUGCAAAUUUUAAGGAGUAAAUUAAUUUACUAAGGCUU